UGUAGUCAUGGGAGUGUGGAAUAUAGCUGCAGGUAAAGAUGUUAAGGAAACAAUACCAAAGGAAAACUCUUCGGCUAAAGUUGAUGUUAUGGAGCUAUAUCUUAGCUCCAUGGCGUCGGUGAGACAAUUUGCUUCCAAAUUCGAGUAGUAAUAAUGUAGGAGUCAUGUCAUGUCCCUUCAUGCUUUCCCAUGACAAUAUAGAGAUGCAGUUUGCGAAAAACCAUCUAGGUUUGCAACAUGAUUCUUUUCAGGAAGUAAUAAUGAGGGAGUCAAGGGUGCCGUAGAGACAUUGGCAUAAAGCAUCAACCAGCAACAUGACAUUGGUAUCCCAUUACGUGGGCUAUCUUGAAAAGGGUCAAAUUCCAACCAAGCCUUGUAGCCAUGGAGUUUGAGUCUAAUUUGAAGGAAGCGACGAGUGACGAUACCAAUCACUUAUUCACUGGUAAGUCAUAUUCAUCAUCACAACUACAUGCCACUACUGGGUCAUAAGAUUAGUGAUGUGGUUAAAUGCACGAUAGAUGCAGCUAAGAUGCUCCCAUCUACAAUCUUAUUCUAAUUCAGUGUUGAGUGCUUUGGUAUUCUGACUUCAUAGUUGCUAUGGUAUUUAUGUAAUUGUUUUCACAUUUGGAAAUUCAGUGAUAGUAGUUUGUUGAAUUUGUAAAAUGAAGACGGUUAAUAAUGUUUACCCAAUUUAAGUUUUUUUGAUAGUUCUGUUGGAUUAAUAUGAUUUCCAAAUGAACAGGGUAACUUGAUUUUGUGGCAGGGAAUUAUAAUUU